rnacentral:rRNA from 1 species
AUGAUGCAUAGCCGAGUUGAGAGACUGAUCGGCCACAUUGGGACUGAGACACGGCCCAAACUCCUACGGGAGGCAGCAGUAGGGAAUCUUCCACAAUGGACGCAAGUCUGAUGGAGCAACGCCGCGUGAGUGAAGAAGGUUUCGGCUCGUAAAGCUCUGUUGUUGGUGAAGAAGGACGAGGGUAGUAACUGACCUUUGUUUGACGGUAAUCAAUUAGAAGUCACGGCUAACUACGUGCCAGCAGCCGCGGUAAU